CCUACGGGAGGCAGCAGUGGGGAAUAUUGCACAAUGGGGGAAACCCUGAUGCAGCAACGCCGCGUGAAGGAUGACGGUUUUCGGAUUGUAAACUUCUUUUCUUAGUGACGAAGACAGUGACGGUAGCUAAGGAAUAAGCAUCGGCUAACUACGUGCCAGCAGCCGCGGUAAUACGUAGGAUGCAAGCGUUAUCCGGAUUUACUGGGUGUAAAGGGAGCGCAGGCGGGACUGCAAGUUGGAUGUGAAAUACCGUGGCUUAACCACGGAACUGCAUCCAAAACUGUAGUUCUUGAGUGAAGUAGAGGCAAGCGGAAUUCCGAGUGUAGCGGUGAAAUGCGUAGAUAUUCGGAGGAACACCAGUGGCGAAGGCGGCUUGCUGGGCUUUAACUGACGCUGAGGCUCGAAAGUGUGGGGAGCAAACAGGAUUAGAUACCCUGGUAGUCCACACUGUAAACGAUGAAUGCUAGGUGUAGGGGGUAUCGACCCCUUCUGUGCCGCAGUCAACACAAUAAGCAUUCCGCCUGGGGAGUACGGCCGCAAGGUUGAAACUCAAAGGAAUUGACGGGGGCCCGCACAAGCAGUGGAGUAUGUGGUUUAAUUCGACGCAACGCGAAGAACCUUACCAAGUCUUGACAUCCUGCGACGCACAUAGAAAUAUGUGUUUCCUUCGGGACGCAGAGACAGGUGGUGCAUGGUUGUCGUCAGCUCGUGUCGUGAGAUGUUGGGUUAAGUCC
rnacentral:rRNA from 1 species